CAGCAAGAGAUUCAAACCUUGCUUGCUCACAAGGUUAAUAUUUACAAAUAUUGACUUCUGUUGAGCCCUUUGGAACUUAAAAAAUAGUCUCUUGAUUUCUCAGUGAUAACACAGGAGGGAUUUUUGUUUUGUUUUUUUAGUUGGGCAGUGCACAAUUUUAUAUUUUUACUCUGAAAGCUGGUUUGCAAGGAGGUGCAUAAAUAUUAUUUAUCAAAUUACUAGCAUUUUUUGCAAUGCAACUUAUGUUUUUAUAAUGACACCAGAUUAAGAAGAGUGAAAGAAUUGAGCUGCAAAUCUAAGCUUUGCACUCCCAAUCUUAUGUUGGAAUAAUAAAUUCAGUUCAGCCAUAACUUACUGAAUAUGUCUAAUAUUUCUGAAAAUGUCUGAGAUAUUACUGGAUAGGUCAUAGAAGAAAUAUGGAGAAAUGGAAACUAGAAUGAUCUGUGUGAUUCUAGUUGUGGAAGCCGGAAGUUCAAAAUCAAGAUGUCAGCAGUGUGUGUCAGUUCCUUCUGGAGUCUCGAGGAAGGAUCCGUUGUAUGAGUCUCUCCUUCCCUCUGUGCUGCAACUCCUGAAACCUGAAGUCUGUGACUCACCAGUUCUAAGCCCCAGAGUCCUGAUGGGGCACCUCAAGGAGACACUUCAGCCACCUAAGUCAGCUGGACCACCCCAUGACACAGUCAUGGAGGUUCCAGUCUGAAUUCAGAGUCAAUGAUAAGGGAGGCUUCCGUGGCAGAGUGAAAAGCACACACCUGAGAAAUGAAAAGAAAUGGCAAAGGUCACACGUCUCAGGAUGAAUUGCACUGUGUGUGACACCCUAGCUGAAAUCCUAUCCCACAGGACCAUCAGGACCUGUGGAGGCCAUGAAGAACAGACCUUGAAGAUUUCCUGCUGCAGGGAUCAGGAAACUGAGAUGCUUAUCCAUCACUUGUCAUGUGGCAUUACCUAAAGACUGCUUUCAGGAUCAUCCACUACCUUGUAUCUCUGGCCUGCCCCAUGCUCAGCAGAGAAAAUCUGAGCAGAGAAUGUCAGGUGCUUUUGGCAGAAGGCAUUGGCAUACAUGGGGUGGUAAGUAUAAUAUCAAUGGGAUAUUGGCAGAGCACAAGAAAAGAGUCCAGUGCAGUGAGGUAAGGAAAAAGAGAAGCAAAUUCUUCUUAACACUAAUUAUUUCUUCUCCAGCCUAUCUAAGAUUCACAAGAUUUGGGAGCAGUCAAGUAGCAUUUUCUUUCUGUUUAUGAUUUCCCUCUGAGACUAUCAUUGCUUUAGGCAAAUGCAUUCAUGUGAAGAAUCAUUUUUCUCCAUGUCUGAGCCUAUAAUAAAUGUCAACCCUUUUUUGGCAACUGCAACUAAUGCUGCAGACCUACCAUUACUAAAAAUGAAAUUACACAUGUUAGGACCCCAGAUCAAUGUAUUUCAAGGGACAUUUAAGAUCACUCUGGACAGGCAAUGGAAUCUCUCCACCUCUGUAGCUAUGAGCCUCCUUCUGGAAAAAAAGAUAAAAUUUUUACUUGAUUUUUUUUCUCUUUCUCUUAGUGCUUGGAUCAAGCAAAAAAAAUGCAAAUGAAAUUUCUAGCCUUGUUAAUUCCCCUGAAAUCUAGCAUCCUCUCUAAAAUACUUGGUAAAACUAAGCACCCAGGAAACAAAGUUUAAAGUCUUUAAGGUGUGCUCAGUGUAGCCUGUAAGGUGUUUAAUAAAUAGCCCUUAAAUUUGCAUAGAAAUCAUAGGCCAUUGGAGCAAAAAGUAAGCUCAGGCAAUGUCACAGAAAAUGCUUCAUUUUACAGGUGAGAGAAAUGAAUCCCAGAGAGAAUUGGUUUGCACAAAACUACACGUCCGUUUAGUGGCACAGCAAAAACCAGAAUUAAGGUGGUCUGACACUCAUUCCAAUAAUUUUCAUGGUUUUUUAUGUUUUAAGCUUUGAUAGAAAGACUUUUGUGCAUUAUCUCAUUUAAAGAAACUAAUGAGAUGGUAAGUCAUUUACAAGUCAGUCAUCUGGGUAAGAGCAGGGGAUCCUCUGGGAUCUGAAUGCUUGGGUUCAAAUUCCAGCUCCAACAUGUGUCACCUGCAUGACCCUGAACGAUCUUUCUGUGCUUCCCUUUUCUCCACGGUAAGCAAUGGCAUCUAUCUCAGUACCCUUAAAACGAUUGCAUGAAAUACUGGUAAGCAAUGACAACUAUCUCAGUACCCUUGAAAUGAGUGCUUGAAAUGCUACAAGCAAGUGUCUAGAGAGUGCCUGGACCACAGUUAGUACUCCAUAAAUCUGAAGCGACAUGAUGUCAUCUUCACAACAGCUCUCAAAGAUACUCAUGCAGUGAUGAUACGUGUCAAUCAUUUGACGUCAAAUGUAUUUUUCAUUCCAUCUGGCAAAUCAUAUCCCUCUUCUUGAAUGGAAUUCCUCUGUCACUCUGGGUCUUUCAAUUCACCUUGAAGUGUCCAAACGAAAAAGAUGGAUUUGAUGUCGUGAAAUGGCAAUUCUAAAACUCAGGAGAUAUGUUGGUGUUUCUGAGCUCUUACUCCAGUGUCCACUUGUCCAUAGAAUCACCUUUCACUUCUGGGGUCAGAGGACAGCUCCUGGAAUGAUCUCUCAUCUUACGGCAAAAAGGUAUCAAUCCAGCUACUCACAUGAUCAACUCCUCCAGUUCAUUGGUGAAUCUCCUGAAGUAACUUCUUCUUAGUGGAUAUCUAUGAUCACUCUAUUUAAAAUAGUCCCCUUUAUUCCUCAUCUCUUACACUCAAUUUUUUCUUUUUUUCUUUCAAUUGCUUGUCAUGCCUUUCCCUAGACUAUGAACUUAAUGUGAAGUUUGUCUUACUUACCAUGAUAUCCCCAGAACCUAGAAUAAGUAUAUGUCCAUACAUAUUUUUGAAUACCUGAAUAAAUAAACAUUUGUUUUUUUAAGGGUAGAAUAUUUUACCCUGAUCUGCUACUUCUGUUUUCACUUCAUAACAAUUGGAGAUUUCUAA
rnacentral:lncRNA from 1 species